UUGCAGUGUUCGAGCAUCAGAAGUCAGAACUGCUAUAUUUGCUGAUGGCAGAAGCAGAGAAGGAAGCUUCUUCAUUGGUUAAUCCAAAAGAGAAGAAAUCUCCAUUGGGGAUAUGGAUUUUAAUUUGGAUGCUGAUUUUGAUGAAUUUUCAUCAUUCAAAGUGGACAUGCCAGGCCUUGAUUUCACAAACUCACCAAAAAAGACAGCCAAAGCCAAGGAAGGAUCUGAAGGGGAAUCAUCAAAGAGGAGCCAUCGAGGACAAAAGGAUUGCUUUAGUUUUUCUUUUGAUUUCAACGAGUGAGUAGGAAUGGUUGCAUCAAUGGAUUUUCUUAAACUCUUGGAAUGGUCCACUAGGCUCUACGGGUGAACCUAUCCGUUUUUAUCCCCAAUGCUGGUUGGAAAAUUUUGACUUCGGUUCAAGCUUAAUGAACUGGGAGAAAUCUUCUAAGAAAAACCUAGAAAACAAGCAAGUGGCAGUAGAGAGAAAAGGGCUUCAAGGUUCUCAAAUCCAUUUGGAUGAAGGCAUUACUAAUGAUAACCUGACCACCAAACUUCCAGCAUAAGAUAUUAUGGCCACUUCAAAUGUUGGGAAUUUGAUAGGUGAACUUGGGGCUCAAUAUUCUAAUGAAACUUGUGCUUCAGAGUCUGGAGCUAUUGAAAAUCUGGUUGUGUUACAUGGAGCAAGACCUUCAACGGAUGAAUCUGUGACCAAAAAUGCAGAAGAAACAGAGGAGCAAAGUCAAUUACCAGAUAAGGCAACAGCCCCGGAGUCAAAUGUUGAGCAGAUCUUGAAAAUUGGAUCUACAAAUUUUGUUGGUCAGGAUGAUAGAGAUCAAAAUAUUGUUUCAGAUAUACAGACAGAUGCUUGUUCUCAGGGUGUGAAAGAAAAUACCAGCUCAGUUGGAGAGCUUAAUUUUAGUGACCAGUUGACCCCUGCUAUUGGAUCAAACAAUGAGAAAUCACAGUCGAGUGCACCACCAUCGUAUAUAACUGGAUUAGAUGGUGUUAAAUAUGAAAGAGGAGAGUCCUGUAGUGAAAUUGCAUCCAAAAAGUUGGAUGAGGCCAAAUCUGCCCAAGGUGAUAGUAAUCUUUAUGAUACUUCCAUCGUGAAUAUUUUGAUGAAGAAGUUGGAUGACAAUGACAUCAAUGCUGAUCUAGAUAUCCAGAGUUCGGCUGCUAAACUUCCACUGAUUGAACUGGAAAGUGAACCUCUAGUUGAGAAAGUAAUUCUGGUAAAGGAGAGUGACCCUGGAGUUAAGAAGUCAAAGUACUUUAAAAAAUCAGAAGUAAAUGCAUCUGAGCUACAGCAUCCAUGUUUGACUUCUGUGGAGGUCUGCUCUCAUGGUAGCAAACCUGUCGGUAGCAUUCAUAUAAGCCCUAUAAUUGAGACAGGGGAGGGCUUCCACAAUGUGCAAAUUAGGAGAAAGUUGAUGGGCAAUUCAAAGUCAAUAACCAAGGAAUUAACAGAAGGUGAACCCAAUAUGCCUGCAAGUGACAAGAACAAUAAAAAGUCCAGCAAUAUUGGUUCAGGAGAAGAUGCUGUUGAUGUAAAUGGCGGCUGCAAGUUGAUUCAUCCAGGGCUUCAAGAUAAAAAAGAAAGAAAAGGAGAAUCUGUUGCUGCAGAAAAGCAUGUCAAGGAUCAUAAGAGUCUUGGGAUUGGUUCAGAGCUCAACCAUAAAUUCAGUUGAAGGGAUAAAAGCUGGCAACAGGACUCCCGAUUUUUCUAAGAUUUCAAGGACUAUGGCACCAACGAUAGGCCAAUCUAAUUCCAGACUUGAGAAUGAAAUGAACUCUGUAAGGAACUCAGAAAAACAUGGAAGUGCAAGGAAAUACAGCAUCCAGGAUUCCGCAACCUGUUCACAGCAGUGGGAGAAAAAUGCCUCUGAUACUGUCCUUAAAGAGGAAAACAUUUGAGGCAUCAAAUGCAGAAUUUGAGCCCCUCAAACCCCUUAAACGCCUCUCUAUCACACCUAGCAUAAGCAGAUUGCAGAAAUAUUAAAGAGCCUGCAAAAAGUGUUGUUGACCAGAUUUCUGUUCUUGAGAAUGUGUCGGAAUCUAAGUCAGGUGACCCCCGACCUCUGGAGUUGAGAGACCUCCAGUGGACAUGAUAGAGCAAGAGGUUUCUGUGGUUAUGGAAGAUGAUGGGAAUGCUGGGAAGGCUGAAA